rnacentral:rRNA from 1 species
UACGGGGGGGGCAAGCGUUGUUCGGAAUUACUGGGCGUAAAGGGCGCGUAGGCGGCCAACUAAGUCAGACGUGAAAUCCCUCGGCUUAACCGGGGAACUGCAUCUGAUACUGGAUGGCUUGAGUUCGGGAGAGGGAUGCGGAAUUCCAGGUGUAGCGGUGAAAUGCGUAGAUAUCUGGAGGAACACCGGUGGCGAAGGCGGCAUCCUGGACCGACACUGACGCUGAGGAGCGAAAGCCAGGGGAGCAAACGGG